UUUUUAGUAGAGGCAGGGUUUCACCAUGUUGGCCAGGCUGGUCUCGAACUCCUGGCCUCAUGUGAUCCACCCACAUCAGCCUCCCAAAGUGCUGGGAUUACAGUUGUGAGUCACGCGCCCAGCCCUGAGUAAAGCCAGUAUUUAAGAGAAGAGGAACCUACAAGGUAUCCUGAGAAACAGAUAGGCAUCUAGAAUUAAGUUAAGUAUUUGUUAGGUUAUCAUUUAAUGUCUGCUUUCAACAAGUAUGCAAUGUCUUACAGAGAAAAUUCAAGUUUUAAAAAGAAAAAAAAAUUUGCUUAUAGUAAAGUUACUGAAAAAGAAAAAGUUCUUUCAGAAUACCGUAACAUGGCUUCCUGGGACAGGAAGGAAACCAAUGAGAUACACCCUCCUGACCUCUUACCAGUACUUCAAAAAGUGCAAUAAAGCUGGUUGAGAGAAACAAAGAAGUUUCUUUGGAGACCUACUUUAAACGCUUAAUCCGUGCCAAAAGUCCAAAGUCCAUGAAGCUAACUACCUUUGGAUGAAUUUUCAAGGCAGAGAUAAAAUCUCCAAUGUGCACUUUAAUGACUAAUACUAGUUUUGAGAGACAUUACUACACAUCUAUGCUCUGGGACAGACCAAACCUUCAGUCUCUACGUCAAUGGUACAACAGAGUACUAUUCUCCCCAGUAGUGUUACUGAAUUUGCGACUCACUGAGUUGGAAGAGCUGCUUAAAGGUUUAUCAUCAUCAAAAGCCAUUUAUUAGGGGGUGUUCUUGUUUUUUUUUGAGCAAAGUGCUAAAAACUCCGUUGUACGUUUCCUACCCCAUCAUAGUUUACAACUUUGUUGGGUAAGAUCAAAUGACUCCAAAAAACACCUCUGGAAUUUCAAUACAAGUUGCGAUAGUUAAGUGCCAAAACAAGCGGUAUGACAGCUGUCGGGAUGCAGAAGUAAUCAGUAAAGCCUGGAUCGUGUAAGAAAAUGGGGCUUGAGCCAGACUUUAAGGAAAGGCCAAGCAGUCAAGAAGGAAUAUGAUGUCCAAGGAAUAUCAUAGGCAGGGUACAGCUGACAGCAAAGGCACAGAUGCAGCAACUGUGCCUAGAACCAGUUGAUCAGUUUUAUUGCAAUAAGAGGUUCAUGUAGCCGGGUUGUGGUAGAUAAAAGCAGAUAAGUAGACAAAAAGCAAGACGGUAGAGAGCCAGACCACAGCAUUUUGUACUUUAUCCUAUGAACAGUACAUAGCCAGUGAAGGUUUUAUGCCGAGGUAGAUGACGGAUGCAAAGCACAAUUUUAGGAAAAUUAAUCUGGCAACUGUGUAUAGAAAGGUUAAUGGAAUAUCAUCAUUGUGACGAGGUAUACAUGUGUCAAAACUCAUCAAAUGUAUACACUUAAAAUUGCUGAAUUUUACUGCAUAUAAAUUAUACCUCAGGAAGACCAAUUUUUUCAAAACAAAGGACAAAGAUAAAGACAAGAAUAAGCAGAUUAUUAAAAUACAGGCUGGAAAAAAAGUCAGGCUGUAAAAUCCUGAAUAUUUGAUAGCUGAGAUUAAUUCAAGCCAGCUGAUUAUACACAUUUUUUCCCAACUUCAGCAACAUAACACUAGUAGCCUGAAACCAGCCAUGAUAGAGUAUUUAUACCUCAGAAAUCAGCAAACAUUACAAAUCAGGGCUUUAUCCCCCUCCCCAGGGUGGUUGUUCAAUAUUCACCAGCACACCACUGUGUAAUUUCUAUACGAGGUUUGGCUUGGAUAUGGUGCUAAAUGAAGAGUUCCUCGACAUUUCUUCUCACUCAAAAUAAUGACAUAAUUCCGAAGCACCAUAUCUUAAUCUUACCAGCAGUAGACAGUUAUCAAAAAAGUGUUAAGAUUUAAGAGUCUAACAUUUUACUAGUUUCAAGAAUUAAAGCAUGCCCAUGAAUAAGAAACCUUUGUGUCUCCCAAUCAAGGUUUCUAGCUAUUAUGUGGUUUGGGACUAACACCAACUGAUGAUGACAAUGCACAAAAAAUUCCACCAUUCAUUCCAUUAUACUAAAGGCUAAUUGCAUGGGCCUAUUAUUGGAAUAUGCUUUCCUAGUUCAACUAGCUGCAUUUCAAUAGAGUAAAGAGGGUUUUCUGGAGAAACCCUACUGUGAAAAGAUGAACUUUGUCUUAACAACUUUAGUUUCAAAAACUAUUCAUUUAUAGAUGCCUAUUUCACGUCUCUGAAGCAAAAUGGUUCAUUUGUUAUGUAGAUUACUAAGCAGUCAGUCACUUAAGAAUAAAAAGUUUCUUCUUUAGAGGCUCCAGCUAACUGUCUGCAUAGGUUCAAUCUAAAAACCAGCAAAGCAUACUGCUAAAUAUGAUAGCAAAUAAUUGUUUAAACACAAAUGAGCACCACCUUCAAAUUUUCCAAUCCACUUUCCAAGGGCCAAUCUAUGAUUAUCCCCAACAAAGACUGGAGCCCCUCUCUCUCAGAGAAGGAAUACAAAACACAGGAGAAAGAUCAUAAAGAACUAUGUAAUAUAAGGAGCAGGGAGAAAAUGUCAGGUGGGAAAAAUGGCCGGAAAUGGGAAGAAGAAACAUGUACAAGAAUCACCAGGAGAGUGACAUUCCCCGCCCCACUGAUACCUAGAGA
rnacentral:lncRNA from 1 species